GACGAACGCUGGCGGCGCGCCUAACACAUGCAAGUCGAACGAGCGAGAGAGAGCUUGCUUUCUCGAGCGAGUGGCGAACGGGUGAGUAACGCGUGAGGAACCUGCCUCAAAGAGGGGGACAACAGUUGGAAACGACUGCUAAUACCGCAUAAGCCCACGGCUCGGCAUCGAGCAGGGGGAAAAGGAGCAAUCCGCUUUGGGAUGGCCUCGCGUCCGAUUAGCUAGUUGGUGGGGUAACGGCCCACCAAGGCGACGAUCGGUAGCCGGACUGAGAGGUUGAACGGCCACAGUGGGACUGAGACACAGCCCAGACUCCUACGGGAGGCAGCAGUGGGGAAUAUUGCACAAUGGGGGAAACGCUGAUGCAGCGACGCCGCGUGGAGGAAGAAGGUCUUCGGAUUGUAAACUCCUGUUGUUGGGGAAGAUAAUGACGGUACCCAACAAGGAAGUGACGGCUAACUACGUG
rnacentral:rRNA from 1 species